GACGAACGCUGGCGGCGUGCUUAACACAUGCAAGUCGAACGGAAAGGCCCUGCUUGCAGGGUACUCGAGUGGCGAACGGGUGAGUAACACGUGGGUGAUCUGCCCUGCACUUCGGGAUAAGCCUGGGAAACUGGGUCGAAUACCGGAUAGGAGCCAUCUUUAGUGUGAUGGUUGGAAAGUUUUUUCGGUGUAGGAUGAGCUCGCGGCCUAUCAGCUUGUUGGUGGGGUAAUGGCCUACCAAGGCGGCGACGGGUAGCCGGCCUGAGAGGGUGGACGGCCACAUUGGGACUGAGAUACGGCCCAGACUCCUACGGGGGGCAGCAGUGGGGAAUAUUGCACAAUGGGCGCGAGCCUGAUGCAGCGACGCCGCGUGGGGGAUGACGGCCUUCGGGUUGUAAACUCCUUUCGCUAGGGACGAAGCUUUUUGUGACGGUACCUAGAUAAGAAGCACCGGCUAACUACGUG
rnacentral:rRNA from 1 species